rnacentral:rRNA from 1 species
UAAAGAUUCAUCGCUGAUAGAUAGGCAUGCGUUCCAUUAGGCAGUUGGCGGGGUAACGGCCCACCAAACCGACGAUGGAUAGGGGUUCUGAGAGGAAGGUCCCCCACAUUGGUACUGAGACACGGACCAAACUCCUACGGGAGGCAGCAGCGAGGAAUAUUGGUCAAUGGGCGCGAGCCUGAACCAGCCAAGUCGCGUGAGGGAUGAAGGUUCUAUGGAUCGUAAACCUCUUUUAUAAGGGAAUAAAGUGUGGGACGUGUCCUAUUUUGUAUGUACCUUAUGAAUAAGGAUCGGCUAACUCCGUGCCAGCAGCCGCGGUAAUACGGAGGAUCCGAGCGUUAUCCGGAUUUAUUGGGUUUAAAGGGUGCGUAGGCGGCCUUUUAAGUCAGCGGUGAAAGUCUGUGGCUCAACCAUAGAAUUGCCGUUGAAACUGGGGGGCUUGAGUAUGUUUGAGGCAGGCGGAAUGCGUGGUGUAGCGGUGAAAUGCUUAGAUAUCACGCAGAACCCCGAUUGCGAAGGCAGCCUGCCAAGCCAUGACUGACGCUGAUGCACGAAAGCGUGGGGAUCAAACAGGAUUAGAUACCCUGGUAGUCCACGCAGUAAACGAUGAUCACUAGCUGUUUGCGAUACAGUGUAA